rnacentral:rRNA from 1 species
CCCUGGUAGUCCACGCAGUACACGAUGAAUUACUAGAUUUUUGCGAUAUAGUGUAAGAGUCUAGUGAAAGCGAUAAGUAUUCCACCUGGGGAGUACGCCGGCACGGUGAAACUCAAUGUGAUUGACUGGGGCCCGCACAAUCGGAGCAACAUGUGUUUUAUUUCGAUGAUACUCGAGGAACCCUUAACCCGGGAUGAAAUUAGAUUGAGGCACAAUGAAGUUUGUUUUCCUUUCGGACUCU